AGCGAACGCUGGCGGCAGGCUUAACACAUGCAAGUCGAGCGGGCACUUUCGGGUGUCAGCGGCGGACGGGUGAGUAACGCGUGGGAACGUGCCCUCUGGUUCGGAAUAACUCAGGGAAACUUGAGCUAAUACCGGAUACGCCCUUUUGGGGAAAGGCUUGCUGCCGGAGGAUCGGCCCGCGUCUGAUUAGCUAGUUGGUGAGGUAACGGCUCACCAAGGCGACGAUCAGUAGCUGGUCUGAGAGGAUGAUCAGCCACACUGGGACUGAGACACGGCCCAGACUCCUACGGGAGGCAGCAGUGGGGAAUAUUGGACAAUGGGCGCAAGCCUGAUCCAGCCAUGCCGCGUGAGUGAUGAAGGCCUUAGGGUUGUAAAGCUCUUUUAUCCGGGGCGAUAAUGACGGUACCGGAGGAAUAAGCCCCGGCUAACUUCGUG
rnacentral:rRNA from 1 species